GACGAACGCUGGCGGCGUGGAUUAGGCAUGCAAGUCGAACGGUAUCAUCCUUUCGGGGGUGAGAGAGUGGCGAACUGGUGAGUAACACGUAGGUUAUCUACCCUCAAGACGGGGACAACCCAGGGAAACUUGGGCUAAUACCGGAUGAGAGUGCGAGAGAUUGCAUUUAAAAGGAUGGCGAAAGUUGUCGCUUAGGGAUGAGCCUGCGGUCUAUUAGUUAGUUGGUGAGGUAAGAGCUCACCAAGGCGAUGAUAGAUAGGCGGCCUUAACGGGUGGUCGCCCACACUGGGAUUGAGAUACGGCCCAGACUCCUACGGGAGGCAGCAGUCGAGAAUAGUCUACAAUGGCCGGAAGGCUGAUAGUGCGACGCCGCGUGAACGAGGGAGCCCUUCGGGGUGUAAAGUUCUUUUCUAUACGAGCAGUGCUAUAUAUAUGGAUAGUAUAUAUAGAGGGAUAGUAGUAUAGGAAUAAGCAACGGCUAACUCCGUGCCAGCCAGCCGAC
rnacentral:rRNA from 1 species